CCUACGGGCGGCAGCAGUGGGGAAUAUUGCACAAUGGGGGAAACCCUGAUGCAGCGACGCCGCGUGAGUGAAGAAGUAAUUCGUUAUGUAAAGCUCUAUCAGCAGGGAAGCAAAUGACGGUACCUGUGUAAGAAGCCCCGGCUAACUACGUGCCAGCAGCCGCGGUAAUACGUAGGGGGCAAGCGUUAUCCGGAUUUACUGGGUGUAAAGGGAGCGUAGACGGCAGUGCAAGUCUGGAGUGAAAGGCGGGGGCUCAACCCCCGGACUGCUGUGGAAACUGUACGGCUGGAGUGCAGGAGAGGUAAGUGGAAUGCCUAGUGUAGCGGUGAAAUGCGUAGAUAUUAGGAGGAACACCAGUGGCGAAGGCGGCUUACUGGACUGUAACUGACGUUGAGGCUCGAAAGCGUGGGGAGCAAACAGGAUUAGAUACCCCUGUAGUC
rnacentral:rRNA from 1 species